rnacentral:rRNA from 1 species
UACGUAGGGGGCGAGCGUUAUCCGAAGUUACUGGGCGUAAAGCGCGCGUAGGCGGGCUAUUAAGUCGGAUGUGAAAUCUCCACGGCUCACCCGGGAAAUUGCAUCCGAAACUGGCAGCCUUGAGGUAUGGAGAGGGAAGGGGAAUUCCAGGUGUAGCGGGGAAAUGCGUAAAUAUCUGGAGGAACACCCGUGGCGAAGGCGGCUUCCUGGCCAUAUCCUGACGCUGAGGUGCGAAAGCCAGGGGAGCGAACGGAAUUAAAUACCCCGGUAGUCCUGGCCGUAAACGAUGGAUACUAGGUGUUAGUGGUAUCGACCCCGCUAGUGCCGUAGCUAACGCAUUAAGUAUCCCGCCUGGGGAGUACGGCCGCAAGGUUGAAACUCAAAGGAAUUGACGGGGGCCCGCACAAGCGGGGGAGCACGUGGUUUAAUUCGUCACUAACCGAAAAACCUUACCAGGGUUUGACACGUAGGGAAGUCUGAUGAAAGUCGGAUGUGCCUAGCAAUAGGAGCCCUAACACAGGUGUUGCGUGGCCGUCGUCAGCUCGUGUCGUGAGAUGUUGGGUUAAGUCCCGCAACGAGCGCAACCCUCAUCCAAUGUUGCCAGCCAUAAGUCGGGACCUCUUUGGAAACUGCCCGUGUAAGCGGGAGGAAGGUGGGGAGGACGUCAAGUCGGCACGGCCCCUACACCCUCGGCUACACACACGCUACAAUGGACGUUAACAGAGGGAAGCAAGUCCCCGAGGUGGAGCAAACCCCAAAAAUACGUUCUCAGUUCGGAUCGCAGUUUGCAACUUGACUGCGUGAAGUCGGAAUCGCUAGUAACCGCAGGUCAGCUAUACUGCGGUGAAUACGUUCCCGGGCCU